rnacentral:rRNA from 1 species
GACGAACGCUGGCGGCGUGCCUAAUACAUGCAAGUUGAGCGCUGAAGGUUGGUACUUGUAUCGACUGGAUGAGCAGCGAACGGGUGAGUAACGCGUGGGGAAUCUGCCUUUGAGCGGGGGACAACAUUUGGAAACGAAUGCUAAUACCGCAUAAAAACUUUAAACACAAGUUUUAAGUUUGAAAGAUGCAAUUGCAUCACUCAAAGAUGAUCCCGCGUUGUAUUAGCUAGUUGGUGAGGUAAAGGCUCACCAAGGCGAUGAUACAUAGCCGACCUGAGAGGGUGAUCGGCCACAUUGGGACUGAGACACGGCCCAAACUCCUACGGGAGGCAGCAGUAGGGAAUCUUCGGCAAUGGACGAAAGUCUGACCGAGCAACGCCGCGUGAGUGAAGAAGGGUUUCGGAUCGUAAAACUCUGUUGGUAGAGAAGAACGUUGGUGAGAGUGGAAAGCUCAUCAAGUGACGGUAACUACCCAGAAAGGGACGGCUAACUACGUG